AAAAAGAGGCAAAGAAAGCCAGACAGCCGGACUCAACAAAAGAAACAAAAGAAAGAGUGCUUGUAUCACACAAGCCUGAAGGUUUUCCCCAUCAGGAGUGUGAUCAAGGAGAGAGUCAGAAAGGUUGUAUAGGCAAAAGAAAGACAAGGAUAUGAGGAUUAGGAAAGCUGUAUACAAAAUUAACAUCCAAUUCUAGACUCUGAAAAGCACACAUGGCUGUUUCACAUUCAGUCAUGAAUAGCAAGUUUUAGAUUCCUAGAUAGAAUGUAUGAACUUUAUGACAGUCAUACACAGUACAAACAUGAAACUCACACGAAUAUUCUUCAAAUUAAAUAAAGUAUUUUUUCCUCCUCAUAGGGCAUAUCGGAGAUUUUUGUGGACUGGCAGCCUUGCCCAGUGUGUGGAGAGGAGUGGCCCAAGUCCUGGCAACCAAAGGCGACCAUACAACCUGUC